rnacentral:hammerhead_ribozyme from 1 species
AUCUAGCUGACGAGUCUCAAAUAGGACGAAACGUGCGUCAUGGAU